rnacentral:rRNA from 1 species
UACGUAGGGCGCAAGCGUUGUCCGGAAUUAUUGGGCGUAAAGGGCGCGUAGGCGGCCCAUUAAGUCAGCUGUGAAAUCUCCGAGCUUAACUCGGAACGGUCAGCUGAUACUGAUCUGCUAGAGUGCGGAAGGGGCAAUCGGAAUUCCUGGUGUAGCGGUGAAAUGCGCAGAUAUCAGGAGGAACACCGGUGGCGAAGGCGGUUCUCUGGGCAGUACCUGACGCUGAGGAGCGAAAGUGUGGGGAGCGAACAGG